rnacentral:lncRNA from 1 species
GUCCGGCCGGGCGAGGUGGCCGCGGAGCGUGGGCGCCCGUCCCUGCUGCUGGCGCUCGCUCCCCCCGCGCCCCGCGGCGCCCUCUGGCAUGGCGGGCCCCGCGGCCCUGGCGGCCCCGCGGGCGGCGCGCCUCCUGCUCCCGGCGCUCGGCGCCCGCCGUCGCCUGCAUCUCUCGGCGGCCAGCUCUCCCUCCGGGUGGGUGUCCAGGCAUUAUUUGUCCUGGAAGGAGAGAAAGAAGGGCCCAGCUCUGCAGAGUUCCUGACUUCAGAGCUCACUCAGCACUUGGAUCUGUCACUGACUCUUAAGUACCUCCCAUAAUUCCCUGUGCUGCACUUGGCCGGACAAACUUGGCCAGCCGGGCUCCUGGGAGCUGAUGAUAUUCUCCUGGGGAGGACACCUCGCUACUCUACCACAAGUCGAUGAAUCUCAAAUGAAGAAACUGAGGCAAGACAAUGUGACAGGCCUCCUCCCACAAGAAGCCUUUGAAGUUCCUUGACUCCAUCUGGGUCCCAAGUCCUUGAGGACACUUUGCCCCUAUCAUUCCUCUGAAAAUCCAAGUUAAAAAUAGCCAUGAAUAAAAAACAGCCCAUGGAUUUGGAAAGCUCACAUGAAGCUUGGCAGUAUGUGAGAAAAAAGGCCGCUCUUUGGGAUGAGAUUGGGCUCCAUGGAAGCUUCUGCUGAGUCUGAAAUAGAAAAGGAUUGGCCUGGGAGCGGCAGGAUCUGGGCCUGCAAGGAGCUUGCUACCUUCCUUCCUGGGAGAGUUUAGGACCUUUUCAAAACACUAAAACUAAACUUUUUUUUGAAUUGAUGAAA